GACGUAGGGCGCGAGCGUUGUCCGGAUUUAUUGGGCGUAAAGAGCUCGUAGGCGGCUUGUCGCGUCGAAUGUGAAAUCUCAGGGCUCAACUCUGACAUUGCAUUCGAUACGGGCAGGCUAGAGUUCGGUAGGGGAGACUGGAAUUCCUGGUGUAGCGGUGAAAUGCGCAGAUAUCAGGAGGAACACCGGUGGCGAAGGCGGGUCUCUGGGCCGAUAUUGACGCUGAGACGCGAAAGCGUGGGGAGCAAACAGG
rnacentral:rRNA from 1 species